UAUAUCUUGCAUCCAAGUUGUGUGGUAUC
rnacentral:piRNA from 1 species